rnacentral:lncRNA from 1 species
UUUGUUAAUGUGCAAGAAAAUUUGUACUGUCCCAUAAUUAUUCCUACAACUGACAAACCCCACAGGGAGUGUACAAAGAAUUAAAAUCAUUUCUGGAGACUAGACCACGUGCAGAAGAAAAAAAGUCACCUUCAUUGUUUUACAGUUCUUCAAGCCAGAUGUUCCAUAGGACAAAGGUGUUAUAUCUUCAUGUGAUCAUCCUCUGCACAAUAUUGCUCAUAAAAUGCUUCACAGUGCUACACAAAUAAACAUCUCAUCCUUCUGAGGGAAAAACUAACUUCACCACAGGACCAGAAGGGUGCUAUAUGGGCUUCUGAAGGAACCAAAGGCUGAAUACCUGGUAGUAUUGGCAUGACUGACCUGCUUUAGGGGAGUUUAACCCUAACUGGUACAUAAGCUGGCCCAUAACAUCUCUUCAAGCAUACAGAUCAGUCUCUAACUGUAUUUUAUUCCACAUUGGAU